UACGUAGGGUGCGAGCGUUGUCCGGAAUUAUUGGGCGUAAAGGGCUCGUAGGCGGUCUGUUGCGUCAGGAGUGAAAACUCGGGGCUUAACCCCGAGCCUGCUUCUGAUACGGGCAGACUAGAGGUAUGCAGGGGAGAACGGAAUUCCUGGUGUAGCGGUGAAAUGCGUAGAUAUCUGGAGGAACACCGGUGGCGAAGGCGGCAUCCUGGACCAAUAUUGACGCUGAGGAGCGAAAGCCAGGGGAGCAAACGGG
rnacentral:rRNA from 1 species